GACGAACGCUGGCGGCGUGCUUAACACAUGCAAGUCGAACGGUGAAGCUCAAGCUUGCUUGGGUGGAUCAGCGGCGAACGGGUGAGUAACACGUGAGCAACCUGCCCCGGACUCUGGCAUAAGCGCUGGAAACGGCGUCUAAUACUGGAUAUGACACCAAUCCGCAUGGGUAUGGUGUGGAAAGUUUUUCGGUCUGGGAUGGGCUCGCGGCCUAUCAGCUUGUUGGGGGGGUAAUGGCUCACCAAGGCGACGACGGGUAGCCGGCCUGAGAGGGCGACCGGCCACACUGGGACUGAGACACGGCCCAGACUCCUACGGGAGGCAGCAGUGGGGAAUAUUGCACAAUGGGCGAAAGCCUGAUGCAGCGACGCCGCGUGAGGGAUGACGGCCUUCGGGUUGUAAACCUCUUUCAGCAGGGAAGAAGCGAAAGUGACGGUACCUGCAGAAGAAGCACCGGCUAACUACGUGCCAGCAGCCGCCGUAACAC
rnacentral:rRNA from 1 species